UAUCUCAUUAUCAAAAAUCCCAUCAGAAGAUUAACAAAAAAAGAAGAUGGAACACUCUUUGCAUUCGUUUAAAGUUCUUUUUCUCCUUGUGUUGUUUUCCAUGGGCAAUGCAGAGGCAAAGGAUUGUUAUGAAAGGAGCAAAAAAUUCCCUGAGAUCAUGUGUCUUGAUUGGCCACAAAGGUGUCCCGGAGCUUGCAGGCGUGAAGGUUUCACUAAUGGAAAGUGCACUACAAUUAACGAUGUCAUAGCUUGCUACUGUACAAAGCCGUGUCCUUUCAAUGAUCAUCUCCCAUAAUCAAUAUUUUCUUUUCUAAUUAUUAUUUUAAUAUUAUGUCUGUAUGGGGCUUAAGUAAAAAAAAAAUCCAAUUAACUAGCUUCUAACCCAAUGUAUCCUUUGAUGAUAUAUGAUGAAAUAUCAUUUUGGAUAAA